rnacentral:rRNA from 1 species
GAUUAGCUAGUUGGUGAGGUAAUGGCUCACCAAGGCGACGAUCCGUAACUGGUCUGAGAGGAUGAUCAGUCACACUGGAACUGAGACACGGUCCAGACUCCUACGGGAGGCAGCAGUGGGGAAUAUUGGACAAUGGGCGAAAGCCUGAUCCAGCCAUGCCGCGUGUGUGAAGAAGGCCUUCGGGUUGUAAAGCACUUUCAGUGAGGAAGAAAGCCUUGAGGUUAAUACCCUCGAGGGAGGACAUCACUCACAGAAGAAGCACCGGCUAACUCCGUGCCAGCAGCCGCGGUAAUACGGAGGGUGCGAGCGUUAAUCGGAAUUACUGGGCGUAAAGCGCGCGUAGGCGGCUUGAUAAGCCGGUUGUGAAAGCCCCGGGCUCAACCUGGGAACGGCAUCCGGAACUGUCAGGCUAGAGUGCAGGAGAGGAAGGUAGAAUUCCCGGUGUAGCGGUGAAAUGCGUAGAGAUCUGGAGGAAUACCGAUGGCGAAGGCAGCCAUCUGGCCUAAUACUGACGCUGAGGUACGAAAGCAUGGGGAGCAAACAGGAUUAGAUACCCUGGUAGUCCACGCCGUAAACGAUG